AUCAUGCCGUAUUGUCCUCAAAUGAUAUUUUACACUUAGAUCUUGAGGAGAAGGUCGCUUGUGAACUCAAAACAUAAGUUCGUGCAGGAAAUCAGAUUUCCGCGCAGCAUGACCUUCAAUUACUAGAACAGUCGUAACUUCCUCUAGGAAAUACAUAUGAACGAACCGUAAAUGGUUUUGGAAACUAUACUCAUUUUGCUUUCCAACCGUAUAUUACACAUAUUCUGGUUCAUCAGGAGCUGUUCACAAAGUCCCGUCGAAGUUGACUGUUUUGCCAAAAUCAGAUUCUCGGACAGAUUCGUCCUACUUUACGAAAACGGCCAUAACUCACUCAAUAUGAUAGGUAUGAUCAAAUGGUUGGUGUCUCUGGAAAGUAGACACAUAGACCUUUCCAAUGGUACCAAUUUCACCAUUUUCCAGUGAGUGAGAUUUCCUAUAGGUCCCGUGGAAGUUGACCUACAAAACUUGGCAGAUUCUGAUUUCGCUUUUGAUGUGUCUUUCUUAUGUAGAGAUAGAAUAAGCCUCAACCUUUCAUACCAUUAAGUAUUGAAAAAGGAGUUACUGCCAUUACAUUGGCGUUGCGUGGGCGCAUAGCUACACUUAGCUUUACAACUUUUCAUAGCGAAUGAGAUGUCAAGUCUUUCGUAUUGUGUUGAGUACAUUGAUGCGUCUUAUUGUACUUAGAUGGGAACUCCAUCUCUUAACACAUAUUUGUCAUCUUGCUUUAGACAAAACAACGGAUCUCUCAUUAGAGCAAAGACCUUGACUAAUCAUGGGAGUAUAUGUAGGCCUCAUUAGUUAUAGAGCGCCUAAACCGAUUGAUGGAAAAUUAUCAUCAAUACAAUCAUCGAGUGUCUUAUCGAGACCGUAUCUUCCCAAGAUCUAUUUCUUCGGAUGUUGAUACAUAUUGGCAUCUCUUGAUCCAUCAAGAGUCCAUGUAAAUCCGGAAUGAACACGCAAAGGCAUAAUUCACCAUAUCCCUUCCAAAUCAAGUAGAGUCCAUGUGCGUUUCAAUACAUUUAGCAAACGUAUGCUCCUGUGGUUUGGAGCCACUUGAUUCGGAUGAAUGAAGUCCGUUUAAGAUCUUCAUGUAUAUCUCUGAUCCCAUAGAGAUGUUAUUAUGACCACAUUCAUAGGCUGCAUGUUCAGUUAUUCGGAAACUACCAAACUGACAAAGUAGUGGAGUUCAAUGACAUCCAUUACGAGAGCAUAUCUCAUCGUAGUUGAUCCCAGUGCGUGUUAGUGAAAGACCUUGCGCCAUAAGGUGAGUCUAAGCUCUUACUCUCACUACGCUAUCUAACAAAGGCAUAGUUGAUAGGGUGUAGCUUGCGGUGUCGGCAUCACCUGCCCAAAGACCUAUCUCUUUGUUAAUGCUGGAUCGUAUCUUUCCAUUAGGCCAAUCAACUAAGUUGAUAUCCAUCAACGAAGGGUGGUUCGAUAGUAGACUCAUUAUCUCACGCCCUCAUGUACACUAGUGNNNNNNNNNNNNNNNNNNNNAAUAUUGUCUCAUCAAAGUGACAAUCCGCAAUUUAGCGGUGAAUGAGAUCGCCUGACAAGGUUCCUACAUAUGCGGAUUAUAGGUGGAGGUUCAUAUUCAACCUAAACUUAUUCAUCUCAAAUGACACAUCAUUGUACGCAGUGGCAAUGUGAUUUGGCACCUAGAAAUAACAUCUAGCCGAGCUCAAGGAUUGGAGAUCCGUUUCAAUCCUGCCGAGCUCAAGGAUUGCAAUUUCGUGUCAAUCUUGGUACACAGUCACGAGCUGUAGUACAACAAAAUUCAAUGAUGGUGGGUCGUAGAUGAAUAGUAAAGCUGCAUGCAAAUAUUGCAUAGCCCCAAGACGCAAUAGAAAGAGUGGUGCGCAUCAAUAAUGUUCGAGCAACAAGCUAAAGUUGCUUGGUCGUAGCCUCGGUGAGACCGUAUUGCGUGUGAACAUGGGGUACAUGACACUUCAACUUACAUCCCGAUGAACUUCUUUAAAGAAUGGGUAGUGAGCCCGUAGAAGUAUAAGCAGUAUAAGCAGUAUAAGCAGCAGAUAAUAGUGUAACACGUGACCAGUGUGUUAACUCGUCAACCAACACCAUAAAGCAUAAAAAGGUGUCCGCAAGUUGGUUGUAUCUAUCUACAUUGUUUGAUGUAAGAAUAGAAUGUUCACUUUUGUGUUAUUUAGCGUAGGAGGGUCUCACUCCUUAUUUAGCUAAAGAAUAGGCUUUCAAAACGAGCAAUGAGCAUUGCAGGGGGCCAAUGCGACAUCGAGGAAAGGCCGGUGCACCUCAAUUGUUUGAGGAAUUGACCGGACGACCUCUAGGAAGUUGGAGUCAUGUUCGGGUGACGUCAAUGUCCCCCGGGUCACCACCAUGCUUCAUGGUGAUGCUAGAUCUCGAAUGUCUUCGUUUUGAGCGGAAGAAUGGAUGUCCAUGAGAAUUUCUCAAAAUUUGGACCAUUAAUCUCUUCUAGGUUGACCAAUUUGGUCAAACCAAAACCUAUAUGAGUCGGUGUUCUAAAUAUCAUGUUUGGCGACAACAUGGGAUUCGAUAUUCGAAUCGUAGUGACAUACAGUUCACUAGAUUGAUUCAUGAAUUUCUCCAAGAUGCGCUUCAGUUCGCAUUUAUGAGGAGGCAUACACAAAAGAAUUCUUGUUCAUUCUCACAAUGUGUUUUUAAAUAAAAACCAUUAGCAUGAAUGUCUUUAAAGCUCAACAUGGUUCCUUAGAAUGUUGUGGAUAGUUCCGCUAUCUGCGAAGCACUCAAUGUCUCUAUGAGACAUAACUACAAGGAGUAGAUAGGCGAGUAAAUAGUUCUACUUGAACCAUUUAGAAGGAUUGAAAGAAGCUACGAAAAGCUGCAAUCCCGAGAGUGCAUAAAAAUUUCCGCGUAGAAUGACCAUUGCGCACUAAAAUAGCCAUAACUUCUUCGUUAAAAUAGAUAUGGACGAACCGUGAAAAGUUCUGAAAACUAGACUCAUAGAGCUUUCCAAUGAUAUAAAGCUCACUGUCUGGUUCGUCCGGAGCUGUUCACAAAGCUCAAACGAAGUUGACUGUCCAAAAGGGACAGAUUGCUGUUUUUCGCAGAUUUGGCAUGUGCGAAGCUGUGAAGCUUGCAGGUGGCGUGUAGGCUUUUGCCUUAGCCAAAAGUGACAUGUGUAUGAUCAAAACCAAGUUUUUUCGAUCGUUCUAAGGUCGUAAACUCCAUGACUAGUUAGCAAAAGCUCCCUGACAUGAACAUAAACUAACUCAGAAGACCUAGAGGAUCCGAUUAUGAUGAUAAUUUUCCAGCUUUGAUAAGUCUUCAACGUCUUUUGCAAGACGGCAAUUGGUUUAAUAGCGUAGGGGGAUCCAAAAUCAAAAGCUUUCGGUAACUCCAAGUCAGUAUGACCAUGCAUGUCCGUAGAGGGUCGGUAGUGCGAGGCACACUUAAAACCAUUAUCUCCUUAAUUUCGAACAAUUCUAAGACAUCACACUGAGCUUGGAUGAGCCUAGUUGAACAAUUGAUGAUGAAAAAUCCGCUAUAUGGUAGAAGACUUAACCGGAAACACGUGGGCGAUCCUCUUUGAGGAUGCAGUGCCAUGAGUCACCUUCAAAGGAAGAGACCAAAAUCGGCACAAUAUGCCAUGUUUCUAAGGACGAUGUAAGUGUACAUCUUGAUUGUAAAUCAAUAUGAACCAUAAGAGGAGAAUAGUUUCACUUCGAAAAAUUCUCGAGGCAUUCAUUAUUGCUAAUGUGAGUACAUCGAGGUCUCAAAUAGACAAAGGACGUCGAUACAACGCCUUAGUACAUAUAACUUAGGAACGAAAAUCAAUGU
rnacentral:lncRNA from 1 species